UACGUAGGUGGCAAGCGUUGUCCGGAGUUACUGGGUGUAAAGGGCGUGUAGGCGGGCGAAUAAGUCAGAUGUGAAAUUCCAUGGCUCAACUGUGGCGCUGCAUCUGAAACUAUUUUUCUUGAGUGAUGGAGAGGAAAGCGGAAUUCCUAGUGUAGCGGUGAAAUGCGUAGAUAUUAGGAGGAACACCAGUGGCGAAGGCGGCUUUCUGGACAUUAACUGACGCUGAGGCGCGAAAGCGUGGGGAGCAAACAGG
rnacentral:rRNA from 1 species